ensembl:snRNA
AAAAAGGGCUUCUGUUGUGAGUGGGAUACGUAGGGUGGCUCUGUUUGCUCUUCAUGUGGAAUCGACAUCAAGAUAUUUUGGAAGCAUAAUUUUUUGGUACUGGGACAGCUGGUGAUCAUUGGUCCUGGCGCUUGA